rnacentral:misc_RNA from 1 species
UACGAAGGGGGCUAGCGUUGUUCGGAAUCACUGGGCGUAAAGGGUCCGUAGGCGGGCCUGUAAGUCGGGGGUGAAAUCCCGGGGCUCAACCCCGGAACUGCCUCCGAUACUGUGUGCCUUGAGGACGGGAGAGGUGAGUGGAAUUCCGAGUGUAGAGGUGAAAUUCGUAGAUAUUCGGAGGAACACCGGUGGCGAAGGCGGCUCACUGGCCCGAUCCUGACGCUGAGGCGCGAAAGCGUGGGGAGCAAACAGG